rnacentral:lncRNA from 1 species
GCUCUCGGUCCUGUAGAGAAAGUUGAGGCAUCCAAAUUGAGCUUCUUCUUUAACCAACUUGCCAUUCUCACCAAUGCGCUUGAUGUACUUAGGUUGAUGAUGAACAACAUGGGCUCGAGCGCAAUUCUCAGCGAUGGGGGCGACGCCCAUAGUCUUGCAUACCCACAUGAAGAGACUCAAGCGAAGCACUCCAUUAGGAGUCAACUCAUGAAGAAACGUUUGGUACUUGAGUAGGAUCUCGAUGAUAACGGGAUCACGAGGAAAU